AAAAGGAGCAGCUGUGCUAUAGCGCGCGCGCCGCUCUGAGGGAAAGCUCAAGGGCGUCGACGCGGCAAGGCGGGGAAGAGAGAAGGGGAAGAAGGCGAGCCGUGGGGGGGGAAGGAGGAGGUGGACCGGGGCCGGGGCGGCCCAAUGGCACAAUAACAGGGGGCCUCAGCCUCGCCCCCCCUUCCCCGCUGCCUUUAAAUUGGCCUCGGGGAGGCGGGGAAGCGGUGGGCGAGGCCAAAGCCGGAGCAAGUCGGAACGCCUCUCUAUUGCGCAGGCGCUAUUCCCUCCCAUACUGGACGUGGAAAAGGAUCGUGAGGGCCGCUCCCUGGUGAGUUUUUACUGUUUUCCUCGGGCCACUUUUUUACAUGCACGCAUGCGCUUGCGACCACCACACCCCCCCUCCCGUAAAGGCGUAGGGGGAGGAAAGAGAGGUGGGGCUCUUCCUGAUUGGGUCUUCGGGAGACGUUCGUCCCGCCUUCAUUUCUGUAACGGAGCGCGCGCAAUGGCGGUUAGCUUUUUUUCUCUCUCAGGUUGUGUGAAGAGGAGAAAAAGAAAAUCUGCCUUUUCCACCAGAUGUAAGCUUGAGCUUUCAGGACUAUCCUGCUACUAAAAGUGUAAUGUGACCUGUAUGAUUAUAGUUUUAAACUAGAAAUACUGUAUGACCUUUGGACAAUUUGACUGAAUAUUUGCAGAUUCCAUGUUCUAUCUGUCUAUAACUACAGAUAACACAACUCCCCAGGGCUUGCAUAUUUGAGAAUAUACAUUGGCUCACAAAUUCCAAACAAGGAAUACUUUUCUAAAAUGAGAUCUUGUGUUCACACACAUACUGUUCAUGAGAGUGAAAGAAGUUUGCAAUUGUACCUGCACCUACCCUGCUAAAUUAUUUCUUCUGCCUCAAGGACAAUUUGCAGCCCGUUCUAUAAUUUAAGACAUUGCUUACCUUUGUGUUUUCCAAAACAUGGUCUGUAAACCCUUGGCAACUAGGGGUUGCAAGGGCACCCCUAGUUAGUGUUAAAUUUUUGCAGGUGCUGUUGUAAUGCUAUACUGUAGUUAAAAUGAAAUGUGAAGUGGGAGCAUAAGAGCAGCAUUUGGAGAUACUGUUUGCUCGCAAAAUUUAUUCAGCUUGGGAACUGUAGUCAGAAUUGAGUUUCUCUUGUAACUGAAAUAAAAAAAAGCAAGUUGAUUACA
rnacentral:lncRNA from 1 species